GAUGAACGCUGGCGGCGUGCUUAACACAUGCAAGUCGAACGAUGAAGCCCAGCUUGCUGGGUGGAUUAGUGGCGAACGGGUGAGUAACACGUGAGUAACCUGCCCUUAACUCUGGGAUAAGCCUGGGAAACUGGGUCUAAUACCGGAUAGGAGCGUCCACCGCAUGGUGGGUGUUGGAAAGAUUUAUCGGUUUUGGAUGGACUCGCGGCCUAUCAGCUUGUUGGUGAGGUAAUGGCUCACCAAGGCGACGACGGGUAGCCGGCCUGAGAGGGUGACCGGCCACACUGGGACUGAGACACGGCCCAGACUCCUACGGGAGGCAGCAGUGGGGAAUAUUGCACAAUGGGCGCAAGCCUGAUGCAGCGACGCCGCGUGAGUGAUGACGGCCUUCGGGUUGUAAACCUCUUUCAGUAGGGAAGAAGCGAAAGUGACGGUACCUGCAGAAGAAGCACCGGCUAACUACGUG
rnacentral:rRNA from 1 species